rnacentral:rRNA from 1 species
AUUGAACGCUGGCGGCAGGCCUAACACAUGCAAGUCGAGCGGUAGCACAGAGAGCUUGCUCUCGGGUGACGAGCGGCGGACGGGUGAGUAAUGUCUGGGAAACUGCCUGAUGGAGGGGGAUAACUACUGGAAACGGUAGCUAAUACCGCAUAACGUCGCAAGACCAAAGUGGGGGACCUUCGGGCCUCAUGCCAUCAGAUGUGCCCAGAUGGGAUUAGCUAGUAGGUGGGGUAACGGCUCACCUAGGCGACGAUCCCUAGCUGGUCUGAGAGGAUGACCAGCCACACUGGAACUGAGACACGGUCCAGACUCCUACGGGAGGCAGCAGUGGGGAAUAUUGCACAAUGGGCGCAAGCCUGAUGCAGCCAUGCCGCGUGUGUGAAGAAGGCCUUCGGGUUGUAAAGCACUUUCAGCGGGGAAGAAGGCGGUGAGGUUAAUAACCUUGUCGAUUGACGUUACCCGCAGAAGAAGCACCGGCUAACUCCGUGCCAGCAGCCGCGGUAAUACGGAGGGUGCAAGCGUUAAUCGGAAUUACUGGGCGUAAAGCGCACGCAGGCGGUCUGUCAAGUCGGAUGUGAAAUCCCCGGGCUCAACCUGGGAACUGCAUUCGAAACUGGCAGGCUAGAGUCUUGUAGAGGGGGGUAGAAUUCCAGGUGUAGCGGUGAAAUGCGUAGAGAUCUGGAGGAAUACCGGUGGCGAAGGCGGCCCCCUGGACAAAGACUGACGCUCAGGUGCGAAAGCGUGGGGAGCAAACAGGAUUAGAUACCCUGGUAGUCCACGCCGUAAACGAUGUCGAUUUGGAGGUUGUGCCCUUGAGGCGUGGCUUCCGGAGCUAACGCGUUAAAUCGACCGCCUGGGGAGUACGGCCGCAAGGUUAAAACUCAAAUGAAUUGACGGGGGCCCGCACAAGCGGUGGAGCAUGUGGUUUAAUUCGAUGUAACGCGAAGAACCUUACCUGGUCUUGACAUCCACAGAACUUUCCAGAGAUGGAUUGGUGCCUUCGGGAACUGUGAGACAGGUGCUGCAUGGCUGUCGUCAGCUCGUGUUGUGAAAUGUUGGGUUAAGUCCCGCAACGAGCGCAACCCUUAUCCUUUGUUGCCAGCGGUUAGGCCGGGAACUCAAAGGAGACUGCCAGUGAUAAACUGGAGGAAGGUGGGGAUGACGUCAAGUCAUCAUGGCCCUUACGACCAGGGCUACACACAUGCUACAAUGGCAUAUACAAAGAGAAGCGACCUCGCGAGAGCAAGCGGACCUCAUAAAGUAUGUCGUAGUCCGGAUUGGAGUCUGCAACUCGACUCCAUGAAGUCGGAAUCGCUAGUAAUCGUAGAUCAGAAUGCUACGGUGAAUACGUUCCCGGGCCU